AACCCGGGGGGAAGGCGCAACUGGACCAUUAUGAGGUGGGGGGGAAGGGGGGGGACAACCAGAUUAAUACCCUGGUAGUCCCCCCGUAAACGAGAAUCCCAGUUUUGGGUGCUUGCCCCGCAGUAAGGGCAGUAACGUUUUGAGCAUUCCGCUUGGGAGUACGGUCGCAAGAUUAAAACUCAAAGGAAUUGACGGGGCCCGCACAAGCGGUGGAGCCAUGUGGUUUAAUUCGAAGCAACGCGCAGAACUUUACCUUCUUUUGACAUGGCGUGUUACCCAGAGAGAUCUGGGGUCCCCUUCGGGGGCGCGCACACAGGUGCUGCAUGGCUGUCGUCAGCUCGUGUCGUGAGAUGUUGGGUUAAGUCCCGCAACGAGCGCAACCCACGUCCUUAGUUGCCAUCAUUCAGUUGGGCACUCUAGGGAGACUGCCGGUGAUAAGCCGCGAGGAAGGUGUGGAUGACGUCAAGUCCUCAUGGCCCUUACGGGAUGGGCUACACACGUGCUACAAUGGCGGUGACAGUGGGAGGCGAAGGAGCGAUCUGGAGCAAAUCCCCAAAAGCCGUCUCAGUUCGGAUUGCACUCUGCAACUCGAGUGCAUGAGGGCGGAAUCGCUAGUAAUCGUGGAUCAGCAUGCCACGGUGAAUACGUUCCCGGGCCUUGUACACACCGCCCGUCACACCAUGGGAGUUGGUCUUACCCGACGGCGCUGCGCCAACCGCAAGGAGGCAGGCGACCACGGUAGGGUCAGCGACUGGGGUGAAGUCGUAACAAGGUAGCCGUAGGGGAACCUGCGGCUGGAUCACCUCCUUUCU
rnacentral:rRNA from 1 species